GGAGAAUCCCAGGGACAGCGGAGCCUGGUGGGCUGCCGUCUGUGGGGUUGCACAGAGUCGGACACGACUGAAGCGACUUAGCAGCAACAGCAGCAUAUAGAUACUUACUCUAAACACAGGAAAAAUAUUGUUGGAGCUGUAACUUGGGUUUUCUGCCCGUCAGUAUCCAAAGGGUGAUAGGUGUCUGAAAUCAGAACAGAGAAACCUGGAAGUUAAGAAGAACAGCAACAGACUGAAAAUGGUAACAAAACUGAAGUCCACCAGGCAGAGAUGGUACCAGGCAAAGUGUCCCAGGCCUGACUCCUGCACACUCACCGCUGCACCACCCUGCCCCUCCCUGCCAUACCAGUUCAGAGGAAGUGUUUCCC
ensembl:lncRNA